rnacentral:lncRNA from 1 species
CACCAAAAGGACUGGGAAACACCGGCAGAUGCACAGACAAUGCAUCCCUGAUUUUACCAAUAGACUUGACUCCCAACAAUGCAUACUCUUGAAGGCAAUCCACAGGUUGAAUAAACCAAGUCCAUGAGCGCUGGGUCUGGAAUCUUUCUACAAUCAGGGUCAGAAGGAGGGUGACUGAAAUUAAAAUAUUAGCUUGGAUCUUUGAAAUCAGAGUCAGGCUGAAAAAGUCCCAAUCUUAGUUCAAAACCUGUCCUGCAUGACUGAAGCCCUCCUAGGGCUGCACAAAGUAUAAUGGAAUUAUUAUUAUUAUUAUCAUUAGAUCCUAGUCUUACCAUUCUCAGCACUUAUCCCCAUAGCAAAAGACCAUUUUUUAAUGUAAUUUAUUCUUUUGGAAUAGGUUGAAUGCAUUCACAUGGUUCCAAAUUCAAAUAAACAGCAAGAAGUCUCCCUCCCACCCUGUCUGCCACCCACUUGGUUUUCCUUCUCUGGAGGCAACCUGGGUUAGUGGUCAGAAGAUGCAUUUAACUGUUUUCCAGCUGAGGCCUUGUGAGAACUCCUCGGACACCAAUUUAAAUCUUUAUGUCCAGAACUCCUUUCUCCAAUCCAGAGAUGAGGUUCCACCAUUCUUGCCCAGACUGGUUUCGAACUCCUGGACUCAAG